rnacentral:rRNA from 1 species
UAGGGAAUCUUCCACAAUGGGCGAAAGCCUGAUGGAGCAACGCCGCGUGUGGGAUGAAGGGUUUCGGCUCGUAAAACACUGUUGUAAGAGAAGAAUGACAUUGAGAGUAACUGUUCAAUGCGUGACGGUAUCUUACCAGAAAGGAACGGCUAAAUACGUGCUAG